rnacentral:rRNA from 1 species
AGAGUUUGAUCCUGGCUCAGGACGAACGCUGGCGGCGUGCCUAACACAUGCAAGUCGAGCGAUGAAACCCUUCGGGGUGGAUUAGCGGCGGACGGGUGAGUAACACGUGGGUAACCUGCCUCAAAGAGGGGAAUAGCCUCCCGAAAGGGAGAUUAAUACCGCAUAAUAUGUUUUAGUCGCAUGAUUGGAACAUCAAAGGAGUAAUCCACUUUGAGAUGGACCCGCGGCGCAUUAGCUAGUUGGUGAGGUAACGGCUCACCAAGGCGACGAUGCGUAGCCGACCUGAGAGGGUGAUCGGCCACAUUGGAACUGAGAUACGGUCCAGACUCCUACGGGAGGCAGCAGUGGGGAAUAUUGCGCAAUGGAGGAAACUCUGACGCAGCAACGCCGCGUGAAUGAUGAAGGCCUUAGGGUUGUAAAGUUCUGUCUUCUGGGACGAUAAUGACGGUACCAGAGGAGGAAGCCACGGCUAACUACGUGCCAGCAGCCGCGGUAAUACGUAGGUGGCAAGCGUUGUCCGGAUUUACUGGGCGUAAAGGAUGCGUAGGCGGACAUUUAAGUCAGAUGUGAAAUACCCGAGCUUAACUUGGGUGCUGCAUUUGAAACUGGGUGUCUAGAGUGCAGGAGAGGUAAGUGGAAUUCCUAGUGUAGCGGUGAAAUGCGUAGAGAUUAGGAAGAACACCAGUGGCGAAGGCGACUUACUGGACUGUAACUGACGCUGAGGCGCGAAAGCGUGGGGAGCAAACAGGAUUAGAUACCCUGGUAGUCCACGCCGUAAACGAUGAGUACUAGUGUCGGGGGUUACCCCCCUUGGUGCCGCAGCUAACGCAUUAAGUACUCCGCCUGGGAAGUACGCUCGCAAGAGUGAAACUCAAAGGAAUUGACGG